GGCCUGCUCGGUGAAAAUUUUAACAGCUGCGGUAUUUUAACUGUACUAAGGUAGCAUAAUAAUUUGCCUUAUAAUUUGAGGCUAGAAUGAAUGGUUUGACGAAGGUUAAUCUGUCUCUAUUUUAUUUCUUAGAAAUUAAUUUUCAUAGUGAAAAAGCUUGAAUUCUUUAAAGGGACGAGAAGACCCUACUGAGCUUAUAAUUUUACUAUUAUUAUAACUAUGUAUUGUUAUAGUAAAUAUAAAUUUUAAUUGGGGUGAUUAAGGAAUAAAGUAUAUUAGUUAGUAACUUCCUUAGUAGGAUAUAUUGUUGAAUAAAGUAACCGAUAUUACGUAUAGAACCGUAUAUUGCUUAUAAUAUAGUUACCAUAGGGAUAACAGCGUAAUUUAUUUAGAGAGUUCUUAUUGAAAAAUAAGAUUGCGACCUCGAUGUUGGAUUAAAGUAACCUUAAGGUGCAGAAGCUU
rnacentral:rRNA from 1 species